UACGGAGGGUGCAAGCGUUAUCCGGAUUCACUGGGUUUAAAGGGUGCGUAGGCGGCUAGGUAAGUCCGUGGUGAAAUCCUGCAGCUUAACUGCAGAACUGCCAUGGAUACUAUUUAUCUUGAAUGUCGUGGAGGUUAGCGGAAUAUGUCAUGUAGCGGUGAAAUGCUUAGAUAUGACAUAGAACACCCAUUGCGAAGGCAGCUAACUACGCGAAUAUUGACGCUGAGGCACGAAAGCGUGGGGAUCAAACAGG
rnacentral:rRNA from 1 species